UUAUUUUUGAUUGCCUUAAAUUCAUCAAUAGAUAUAAGAGUAUUCAGAUUUGAAUAUUUUUGCAAUUUCUUCCAUGUCCAAGGUGCAUAAUAGGAAAAAAGGAGUUUUCCCCAGAUCUGUCAGAACCCGGGGUACAUUAAAAAGCAACAUCUGGAGGAGUGCAAGUGAUAACUACCCGAACUAAGGAAAAGAAGGUUAAAAAGCAAGGAAACACUGUGGCAAGAACCUCCUGGAAGACUCCUUACAAAUCCUGGAGGAACUCCUCAAGAGAGCCACAUCAAAGCACAUCAAUGAAUAGUUUUUGGGGAGCCCCAAUUAAAGACAUCAAGGACUUACAGAUGUUGAUCUUAACCUGUCAGCCUGCACAGACAUCUAUUCCAGUCCUACCUACAUCACACCAGACCUCACUCUGUCUUGUCUAGAUGGCUGACUAACACCAAGUUCUCCUCAGGAUUAGAUGUAUGGAAACAUAAAAAAUGGACAUAACACAACUGAAUAUUGC
ensembl:lncRNA